rnacentral:rRNA from 1 species
CCCGUAAUCUACCCAGUUUUCAUAUCCAAAACGGAUAUCUGCGUUAAUUUUGGAGCUAAUACGUGCACCAACGUACCGCUAGCAAUAGUGGUAUGCACUUGUUAGUAUAAGGCCGACUGGGGCAACCCGAUUGGUGACUCUGAACAAUUUUUGCGGAUCGCAUGGUCUUGUACCGGCGACGUACUGGUCGAGCGGGUGCCCUAUCAACUAUUGAUGGAAGUCUAUGUGUCUUCCAUGGUUGUAACGGGUAACGGAGAAUCAGGGUUCGACUCCGGAGAGCUAGCCUUAGAAACGGCUAUCACAUCCAAGGAAGGCAGCAGGCGCGUAAAUUACCCACUCUCAAUUCGAGGAGGUAGUGACUAUCAAUAACGAGACAGAUCUCUUUGAGGUCUGUCAUUGAAAUGAGCACAACUUAAAGACUUUAACGAAGUCUAUGGGAGGGCAAGUCUGGUGCCAGCAGCCGCGGUAAUUCCAGCUCCCAACGUGUAUAUCGUCAUUGCUGCGGUUAAAAAGCUCGUAGUUGGAUCUUAGCUUAUGACAGUAGUUCACCAUGUGUGAUACUGCGUGUCUGAGCUGUUUCGCCGGUUUUCCUUGGUUUCGGCCUUGGUGACUGGUGUUGUAACUUUGAUUAAAUCAAUGUGAUUAAAACAGGCGUUUGCUUGUAUGCUUUAUCAUGGAAUAAUAGAAUAUGACUUCGGUCCAUUCUGUUGGUCUUGGGAUCGAAGUAAUGAUUAAAAGGAACAACUCGGGGGCAUCCGUAUCGCUGCGUGAGAGGUGAAAUUCUUGGACCGCAGCGAGACGACCUAUUGCGAAG